UAAGAGCCUUUUGGCUCAACAAAAAACAGCCCCGAAAUCCCCAUCACCAAACCCACCAGACUCCAUGUAAAUAAUCUGUACUUUUAGCGAGUACAGAACCAGCGUAUUUCCACAUGUAAAUCGGUGAAUUAAGGGUUAAUUUCACCCGAACCAGAGUCCUGAUUGUUAGAACAGUGGAAAGACAAACCAAAACGGCUUUUGGAAGUUUUUAUUGUUUUUAUGUCCACUUUGAAUGCAAUGUGUUUGACGAUGAUAAAAGUAGUGAUUAUUUACAUGGAGCCUGGUGGGUUUGGCGGAGGCCUGUUAAAGAGCGAAGAUUACAAUAGAUCUUAUGAACAAAUGUUUAUUGAAAUACUUCCUGUCGUAUCGUUGCUGCGAGAAAACAUCACAGGAAGGAGAGAAAGAUCAACUGAAGGUUUAAUGAACUAACC